rfam:Oryza sativa Japonica Group DNA, chromosome 2, cultivar: Nipponbare, complete sequence.
AAAAAGACAAAUCAUGUGUUUCCGUGUCCAACUUUAACUGUCUGUCUUAUAUGAAAUUUUUUUAUAAUUCGUAUUUUUAUUAUUGUUAGAUGAUAAAACAUGAUUAAUACUUUGUGCGUGACUUGUCUUUUUAAUUUUUUUUAUAUUUUUUUAAAACAAGACGGACGGUCAAACGUUAGACACGAAAACCAGGGUUUGCCUUUUUA